AAUGAAAUUAGCAAAAGGGAAAUGAAGAAUUAACGGAAAGUGGAAUUGAUGUAGAAAGUGUUGGUUUGAGAAAGGAAAAGAAAAUAGAGAGACCCUCUUGUUCAAUAUCCCCCGAAUUGAUUUCAAAUCAUUAUCCAAAUUAUAAUCCAGAAAUACAUAUUCAUCGACUACUUUUAUUAAUACCCAAAACCCACUUUUUUUUCUAUCCAUUUCUGCCCAUUGUUGCUCGAUCUAGAUUGGUUUUUGCUGUUUUUUUCUUCUGGCUUCUUGAUUUCAGAUUGAUUGGUUAAAUAGGUGCUUUUGAAGUGUUUCGGCUGACGAGGGACAUAAGGAGGCCGAUACCGACAAGAAUGUUCUCUUUGUAAAUGCUACUUGGUGUCGGCUAGCUAGAAAUGAGCCGGUCUCCGUCAUUGUCUUUGAAGUCUGUACCAAACUUGAGUGUUGACCCGAAAUCAUUUGAUCAAUGGGCUGUUGCCUUUUGUAUCAUUAGAUUUGACCUUGAACAGGGGCAGUUAAUUGAAGAUUGCUAUCCACCUGGUUGUCUUAGUCAAGAAGAGGAACUUGAAGUCGCUUUUAAUUCAUUUCCUGAUUCUGUUUCCCAACACCAUAACCGAUCAAGCAUUCAUGAUUGCAUUUUUUUCUUUCGAAUUAAGAGGAGAACUUCUGGAGUGGUGCUUGAGACCUCUUCGAAGGGUAGGGGUAAAAAUACAAGGUAUUUGUAUGGUUUCGUAUUUAAUAGGCAGAGACAUGAUGAAAGGCUAAAGCGAGGUGGUGAGCAGAAGUCAGUAGUGAUUUUGUCUCAUAGUCCUUAUUCUAGUGUUUUUAGACCUUUGCUACAAAUCAUGGGUCCUUUGUUUUUUGACAUUGGUAAGAAAGCCCUUGAUAAUGUUGCUUCUUUUGUAUCAAAAUGGCCUAAUCCUCUACCAGGUCAACUGAUGGAUCUUCCUAUUGGAAAUGCAACACUUAAAGUGAACUUGCCACCUGCACAUAGCUUGCCUUUAGACGGUGAGGUGUUGUUUGAAGAAUCUGCUUCUUCAAUGGCUCCGCUUCUUCCUACUAACCAAUCAGUUCCACAGGGUCUUUUUCACGACUCUGAUCUCUUUGGUACAUUUAAGGGCCUCCUAUUGCAGCUUUGGGUACUAUGGGAAUUGUUACUUAUUGGUGAGCCCAUUCUUAUAAUAGCGCCAACACCUCCUCAGUGCUGUGAGGCAGUUGCUAGUCUCGUUAGUUUAGUAGCCCCGCUUCUUUUGAGUGUUGAUUUUAGGCCUUACUUCACCAUUCAUGACCCUGCAUUUGCCCAAUUAAACUCACUACAAGAAGGGGAUGUUUUUCCUCCAAUGAUUCUGGGUGUCACAAACCUCUUCUUCUUGAAAUCUCUGCGUAAUAUCCCUCAUACUGUUUCUGUUGGAAGUCCUGCUCCUAAUUCAAGUCGCCCUAGUCUAGCUCCAAGGGCCUCAAUUGGCAGCGUGCCUGCUAGACUUGAUGCCUUUGGUCUUCAACAAUCCCUAAAGAAGUUUUCCCCUUCAAGUUUGUUAAACGCUGUUAAGUUGAGGAGAGAUGGUCCACUUUGCCUGAUGACAGAACACAAAGAAGCAUUCUGGACAACUUACACAGCAAUCACAAAGCCAGACACUUCUGUCUUGAACAGACUAGUUGAUGCUGGUUUGUCACCACGGGUAGAGGAGUCAAUGUCGGUUGUUAAUAAUGAGAUACUACGUCGUCAUUUCCUGGAGCUUACUACCAACUUUCUGGCUCCCUUUGGCCGAUAUUUUAGAGCUUUUGCACCUUCUGAAGGAGUAUCUCCAUUCGUUGACCCCCCUCCUCUCCCUCAGUUCAAUGACGAUGAUUUCCUUGGAAGUUUAUCAGCAAGAGGUCCUGGAAAGUUUUUGUCAAAGCGAAUGAGAUCAAAUUGGCUUGAGCUAUACAGGCGGUUUUUAAGGGGUCACAACUUUAGGCCAUGGUUUGAAAGGAAACGUACUGUCGCAGAGCAAGAACAGCAUAAACUAUGGAGACAAGCAAGGAUAAAAUCUGACAUAUAUCAAUACAUAAAUAGAAUGUCUGAAUUGGAAGUUGUUGAUUCCUUUAAUGCUACAGAGAGGCAUCUUAUUCAAGAAGAACAGUCUGGGAAUGCCGAUGAGGACUCCUUAGCGACUUGUCAAAAGCUGAGGGGAGAUUUGAAGGCGGUAUUUAACAUUCUUCCAAAAGAUAUGCAUCAGCUUCUGCUUAUGAACCCCGAAAGGGCAGCUCUCCUGCAAGAUACACUUGAAGAAGGAUUAAGGGAACAUCCUUCUGCGCAAGCUGGGUUGCGCAACUCUUCCACUCCACCGAGAUGACAUUAAAAUUGUGGCUACCAAUUAGGUUGUAUUUGUGUAAAGCAAAGUUUCUUUUCCUGCUUGAGAUGGAGUUGGUAUCAUUUCACAGCCUUAAUUUAUCUUCGGUUAGGGGCUAAUCUCCUUGCAUCCAUACAUGUGUUGUACUAGAAAAUGCAAACCGAAAAAAGAAGAGUAAAAGAAAGAUAUUCAGCAUCAAUAGAGCUUCACCUGAAACUUAAUUUCCGAGAAGUCUCUCCCCAGUUGUAUCAAAAAGUAUAAUUGCGGUUGUAUCAAAUUCCUUUGAGAACUGUUGUAAUCAUAUCAUGACAGUUUCUGACAAUGUCAUUGUUGUUUUUUUUUUUUAAAUUUUUACCAGCAUUUUGAUAAUUAUAGCAAAUAUAAGGAACUUUAGAUUUUUAGUUUUA